ACAAGGCCCCUUCUUCCAUAAGAAAGCAAUUCAAAGAGACUCAACCUUUCCCACUGGACACAAAUGGAAAACAAUGUAGCCCCAGGAACUCUGGCAGCCAUUCUGUGCCCAUGAGAAGAGCGUCUGAAUGAAAACAUGCCAAUACCAAGGAAAUAGAGCCAAGAAAAGAAGAGAGAGGAGCCAAGUCCUGGUUACAUCAUUUGAGCCCUGGAGCAAAUCAUUCAUGAUAGCUGAGUUUCAGGUGCCAAUAAAAUCUCAUGUUUUGCUGAAGCCAGUCUGAGUUGAGCUUUCUGAUACAAGCUAGAGAUCCAAAUGGCAUGUGGUGUAUUGGGGGGCUUCUCUCGAGGCCAAACAAAUGGAAAACAGCCAGCCCCAAGAGGGUGCGGCUCCGCCCAGCCAGGAAUCAAGGCGUCAGUCAACCAAAGAGACGAGGAAAGGACAACCCGGAACCUGGGCUCACUGUGGAAGCAGCAGAGGGAGCCUCUCCUCUGCCAGAAAGGGGAAGCCUUCGCUCAGUAUCCUUUGGAGAGGCAGGGCAGCAUGGAGGUUACUUACCAGGAGGGACCCAGGUCUGACCGGCUCAGACCCCUGGACUUCAUCCCAGCUCUAUUCAUCGCUAGCUGAUCACCUUGGGCAACUUUCUUAACCUCUCUGGGCCUCAGUCUCUGCACUUGAGGAUAUAGUAGCGCCUAUCAUGUAGGCUGUUGUGAAGAUUAAACAAGUUAAUACCUGCAAAGACUUUAGAACAGUAGUUGGCACAGAACUAUCCUCCUUAAGAGAUUUCAGCGGCUGCUGUUGUUCUUCAUAUUAUUAAUGCUAACGCUCUCCUUGGAUGAGUUCCACUCCAGAGGUUUGCGGCCCUCCAGCUUCCACCCACAUGUGUAUGAGCCCCCUUCGGGCAGGCGCUACCCAGCCCCCACCCCGAACCUGACCUGAUGGGCUGCUCUGGACCCACCCACGCCUGAUGGUGGAGGCAUGAGCAGACACAGAGCUCCGCAGCCUUUCCGCAGCCCCAGGCUGUGAUGUGUUUCUGCUGCAGGUGACAGGCAGCCUUCCCUACCCUGGAUGAAUGGGGGAGACGACUUCAUUGUCAGGACUCUGGGGUCCCAUGAGGCUGCAAACACUCCACCUCCCACACCUCCCUCAGCCGCACUUACCUCUGGGCUGGCGUCACCUUCUGGCAGGUCAUUUUCAAGUCGAAUAACUUUUUUUUUUUGUUUUUUUUUUUUUUUGAGACAGAGUCUCACUCUGUCACCCAGGCUGGAGUGCAAAUGGAGUGAUCUCUCAGCUUACUGCAACCUCUGCCUCCUAGGUUCAAGCAAUUCUCAUGCCUCAGCCUCCAGCCUCCUAAAUAGCUGGGAUUACGGGUGCACAUCACCACGCCCAGCUAAUUUUUUUUUUCUUUGUAUUUUUAGUAGAGACGGGUUUCACCAUGUUGGUCAGGCUGGUCUCAAACUCCUGACCUCGAGUAAUCCACCCACUUCAGCCUCCCAAAGUGCUGAGAUUACAGGCACGAGCCACCACACCCAACCACACAUAGCAAUAGUUUUAAGUGAAAUAAUUAAGAAAUAUUAUUCACAGCUACAAACC
rnacentral:lncRNA from 10 species